UUUGAACUCUGGCGGCAGGCCUAACACAUGCAAGUCGGACUAGUGGCGGACGGGUUAGUCAUGUCUGGGUGACUGCCUGCUGGAGAGGGAAAACUACUGGAAACGGUAACUAAUACCGCCUACCAUCGGAUGUUCCCAGAUGGGAGUAGCUACUAGGUGGGGUAAAGGCUCACCUAGGCGACGAUCCAUAGCUGGGCUGAGAGGAUGAACAGCAACACUGGAACUGAGACACGGUCAAGAAUACUACGGGAGGCAGCAGUGGGGAAUAUGGGACAAUGGGCGCAAGCCAGAUGCAGGCAGGACGCGUGUAUGAAGAAGGCCUUGGGGUUGGAAAGUAUUUUCAGAGGGGAGGAGUUACACGCAGAAGAAGCACAGGCUAACUACGUGCCAGCAGCCGCGGUAAUUC
rnacentral:rRNA from 1 species